rnacentral:rRNA from 1 species
CCUACGGGCGGCAGCAGUGGGGAAUAUUGGACAAUGGGGGGAACCCUGAUCCAGCCAUGCCGCGUGUGUGAAGAAGGCCCUCGGGUUGUAAAGCACUUUCAGUGAGGAAGAACGCCUUGUGGUUAAUACCCAUCAGGAAAGACAUCACUCACAGAAGAAGCACCGGCUAACUCCGUGCCAGCAGCCGCGGUAAUACGGAGGGUGCGAGCGUUAAUCGGAAUUACUGGGCGUAAAGCGCGCGUAGGUGGCUUGAUAAGCCGGUUGUGAAAGCCCCGGGCUCAACCUGGGAACGGCAUCCGGAACUGUCAAGCUAGAGUGCAGGAGAGGAAGGUAGAAUUCCCGGUGUAGCGGUGAAAUGCGUAGAGAUCGGGAGGAAUACCAGUGGCGAAGGCGGCCCUCUGGACUGAGACUGACACUGAGGUGCGAAAGCGUGGGUAGCAAACAGGAUUAGAUACCCGGGUAGUC